CCACAAGGUCAAUGUGGGAGUGCCCCUUGCAUGGGGACUUGCAUAAAAGCCAGUGUGGCACCAUUAAAAUUCAUUUCUGUUGUACCCUUCAUGAAGUUUAGGCUCAUGUUUGGGUAACUGUCUACUUUCUGGGGAUAAACUACUUGGAUGCUGCAUUAAUCUGGAACUAUUCGAAUCUACACCCGAACUGCAGCUAUAAUCACUCAGGCUCAGGAGUUCAGGAGGAAAAGGCGAACAGGGUAUCUACUAUACCAGCGUUCAUAACACCACCUUAUUCCCGAAUUAAGUAGGAUUGGGAGGUCCCAAAAGAUAUAUAUCAGUGAGCCUUCCACUUGUUAACAUCUCCAACAAAUGGGUAAAACAGUGGUAUACAUUUUUGAGAGUCUUAGGGGAACUAGGUAUCAUUUCAUUAGGAUUUUGCUAAAAGCUUCCCAAUGCGAUAAGCUACUGAUGCAUUUUUGGUUGUUUGUAUUAAGCUUAAACCGGAUGAAAGAGAGAAAUCUUUGCUCAAAUCUCUUUCCCAUAUGGUCAUGUAUGGGAGUUUUACCUAGAUUUCAGCCAUAAUAAACCAGUUGUAACACAAAGAGCAAGUCUUAGUGGAUGUACCUUUAAC